GUCAAUAAUGAAUUUGCUUUGCUUUGUGUGUGUGUGGGAAAUUUUCUUUUAAAUUGCUUUUGUAUUGCACAUCCUGGUCAUCCUAACAUGAACAUUCUAUCAGCAUGAAAGUUGCACAAUACGAAAGGAGUUUGUUUUUAUAUUGUUUUGUUCAAAUCAAAUUGGCUUUCAAAAUAGUUCUGUUUUCUUGUGCAUUUAUAGAGUUAUUCACUUUUCUAUUGCAUUGUCUGUGUUUCAGAUUGUGAUUUGCCCCAUGUGGACAACAAGUUGGUCUCCAGUAAGCAUUGCUAUAUCGAACGAGCAGACGAUGGCACAGUUUGGCUCUAUGACACCAGUACAAAUGGAACCUUACUCAAUCUUAAAUUUAAACUAGUCAAGGGUGAGCGCAGACAACUUCACCAUGGAGAUGAAAUACAUAUAAUCCACAAAAAGAAUGACACUGAAAAUGAUAUAGGUUAUGUGUUUGAAGACUUGAAGGAAUUGGACAAUGAGCCAAGGUCUGAUGACACCGAAGAAUACAGCUUUAACAAUAAUGCCACUUUCAUAGAAUUCUAUAAUUCAGAUGAAUCUGUUAACUAUGUCUCCACAACUCCAGAAACAAAAAGACAGGUAAACGUUUUAUAUGGCAUUAAUCUUUGAGUUUUUAAUGUAUUAAUCAGAAUUGGUGGCUGAAUGGAAGAGCAGUAGGUGAUUGUCCUGAGUUUGAGUCUUGAUUUUAGGGUUUCUUUA
rnacentral:sRNA from 1 species